rnacentral:rRNA from 1 species
GAGUUUGAUCCUGGCUCAGAUUGAACGCUGGCGGCAGGCCUAACACAUGCAAGUCGAGCGGUAGAGAGGUGCUUGCACCUCUUGAGAGCGGCGGACGGGUGAGUAAUGCCUAGGAAUCUGCCUGGUAGUGGGGGAUAACGCUCGGAAACGGACGCUAAUACCGCAUACGUCCUACGGGAGAAAGCAGGGGACCUUCGGGCCUUGCGCUAUCAGAUGAGCCUAGGUCGGAUUAGCUAGUUGGUGGGGUAAUGGCUCACCAAGGCGACGAUCCGUAACUGGUCUGAGAGGAUGAUCAGUCACACUGGAACUGAGACACGGUCCAGACUCCUACGGGAGGCAGCAGUGGGGAAUAUUGGACAAUGGGCGAAAGCCUGAUCCAGCCAUGCCGCGUGUGUGAAGAAGGUCUUCGGAUUGUAAAGCACUUUAAGUUGGGAGGAAGGGCAUUAACCUAAUACGUUGGUGUCUUGACGUUACCGACAGAAUAAGCACCGGCUAACUCUGUGCCAGCAGCCGCGGUAAUACAGAGGGUGCAAGCGUUAAUCGGAAUUACUGGGCGUAAAGCGCGCGUAGGUGGUUCGUUAAGUUGGAUGUGAAAUCCCCGGGCUCAACCUGGGAACUGCAUUCAAAACUGUCGAGCUAGAGUAUGGUAGAGGGUGGUGGAAUUUCCUGUGUA